rnacentral:RNase_P_RNA from 1 species
GGGGGGUGUGAGCCCACGGACAGUGCCACAGAAAACACACCGCCGAUGGCCGCAAGGCUCAGGCAAGGGUGAAAAGGUGCGGUAAGAGCGCACCGCGCGACGGGUAACCGUUCGCGGCACGGAAAACCCCAUCCGGAGCAAGGCCAAAUAGGGAAGCAGCGGGGCGACCCGCGCGUGCGGUCCGCACGGCUUCCGGGUAGGCCGCUAGAGGCGCGCGGCGACGCGCGUCCCAGAUGAAUGGCUGUCCACGACAGAACCCGGCUUACAGGCCGGCUCCUUAU